GGUCCACAGCUCAGUGGCAGAGCAUCUGCUUCGCUUGCAGAAGGUCUCAGGUUCAAUCCCUGACAUCUCCA